GGUAACAGGAAGAAGCUUGCUUCUUUGCUGACGAGUGGCGGACGGGUGAGUAAUGUCUGGGAAACUGCCUGAUGGAGGGGGAUAACUACUGGAAACGGUAGCUAACACCGCAUAACGUCGCAAGACCAAAGAGGGGGACCUUCGGGCCUCUUGCCAUCGGAUGUGCCCAGAUGGGAUUAGCUAGUAGGUGGGGUAACGGCUCACCUAGGCGACGAUCCCUAGCUGGUCUGAGAGGAUGACCAGCCACACUGGAACUGAGACACGGUCCAGACUCCUACGGGAGGCAGCAGUGGGGAAUAUUGCACAAUGGGCGCAAGCCUGAUGCAGCCAUGCCGCGUGUAUGAAGAAGGCCUUCGGGUUGUAAAGUACUUUCAGCGGGGAGGAAGGGAGUAAAGUUAAUACCUUUGCUCAUUGACGUUACCCGCAGAAGAGGCACCGGCUAACUCCGUGCCAGCAGCCGCGGUAAUACGGAGGGUGCAAGCGUUAAUCGGAAUUACUGGGCGUAAAGCGCACGCAGGCGGUUUGUUAAGUCAGAUGUGAAAUCCCCGGGCUCAACCUGGGAACUGCAUCUGAUACUGGCAAGCUUGAGUCUCGUAGAGGGGGGUAGAAUUCCAGGUGUAGCGGUGAAAUGCGUAGAGAUCUGGAGGAAUACCGGUGGCGAAGGCGGCCCCCUGGACGAAGACUGACGC
rnacentral:rRNA from 1 species